rnacentral:misc_RNA from 1 species
AAAAUAAUCCUACCCUUUGUGAAUUUUGUUUGUUUGAAUAAUUUUUUUUUUUUAAAAAAUUAUUGGAGUCUUUCCCUUUAGAGUUUGCUUUUGAGUUUGUAAAAGAAUUCGAAAACAUCUAAAGGGGAUGGUCAAUAAUUUUUUUUGAAAAAAGACAUUUUUUAAAAUUAAACUUUUUGUAUUCAUUUGUCUAAAAAUUAUUUUUAUAAUAUAAAAACAACUUUUGACAAUGGAUCUCUUGGUUCUCGCAACGAUGAAGAACGCAGCAAAAUGCGAUAAGUAGUGUGAAUUGCAGAAUACGUGAAUCAUCGAAUCUUUGAACGCAUAUUGCACUUUUUUAGUUUACUAAAAAAGUAUGUCUGUUUGAGUACCAGUAAAAUAUUCUCAUAAAAAUCAUUGUGGUAUUUUUAUGGCUAUGAGUGUUUACAACGAUACAAGUUGUUCACUUUAAAUUUUUUUUUAAUAUUGAAUUUUUCUAAUUUUAAUAAUUAAAAUUGGAUAAAAUUUUCCCGUCAAAAGGAAUAACCUAAACAAUUUUAAAUGAUUAAUUUUAGCAAAAUUUUCGUAAAAAAGGAAAAUUUUUAUUAAAAUAACUUGAUCUCAAAUCAGAUAAGAGUACCCGCUGAACUUAAGCAUAUCAAUAAGCGGAGGAAAAGAAACUAACAAGGAUUCCCUUAGUAACGGCGAGUGAAGCGGGAAGAGCUCAAAUUUGAAAUCUUCAAGGUUUUACCUUGACGAAUUGUAGUUUAAAGAAGUGUUUUCUGCUGAAGUUUGGUAAAAGUUCUUUGGAAUAGGACAUCAUAGAGGGUGAGAAUCCCGUAUUUGACCAUUAUUUUCAGCUUUGUGAUACACUUUCAAAGAGUCGGAUUGUUUGGGAAUGCAGUCCAAAAUGGGUGGUAAUUUCAUCUAAAGCUAAAUAUUGGCGAGAGACCGAUAGCGAACAAGUACCGUGAGGGAAAGAUGAAAGAACUUUGAAAAGAGAGUUAAACAGUACGUGAAAUUGUCAAAAGGGAAGCGUUUGACACCAGUGUUGUUUCCUCGAAAAUCAAUUAAAAAUGGCUCGAUUUUGUAUUGCUGAGACCUUAAAAGCUCACUGUACAUUUUUCGUGUCUUUUUUAAUGCACUUUUCGUUUAACAAGUCACAUCAGUUUCUUUUGUUGUAAAAGGGUCAUUGGAAGGUGGCUUUCUUUUCGGAGAAAGUGUUUAUAGCCUUUGGCCUCUGCAAUCGAAGAGACUGAGGUCUGCAGCGUAGACUCUUCGGGGUUAGAUACAUUUGUGCUAAGUUAUAGCUUUUUAUAGACAACUUGUUGACUAUAAUUAGUCUUGUAGCUUACUCGCUUAUGCUAUUUUACCUACGCUUAGGAUG